AAUAUACUGGGCAAAAAUAGUUGGGGAUAUAUGUAAAUUUUGAAAUUAUGAAUAAUAAUCUACUUAUUCAUUGACACGCUAUUAAAAUAUCAAUCAUAAAAACACCAAUAUCCCUAACUUAUUUUGUCCCGUAUAGAUUACAGUUGUCCAUACU